UGGUCCAGAAAUUGCUAGGGCAAGCAGAAAACUGAGAAACCGAAUCCAUCAAAAUUUCUGAUAACCUAAGGUUAAAUAAAAAUCUCUAAAGCAGCACCAACAGUCGGAAAAAAAAAAAAGUGAACAAAAAAUAUUGAAACAACAUGGCCCACGGUGGCUAUGGUAAGCGUCGUGUGGCCGAAGGGAACCGCGUCGGUCGGCGAUCCAAGGGACCCGGCGUCGACAAGAAACCGAAGCCCAAAGCCCCCUCUCUUAAGAACCAGAUACGCUCCAUUGAACGCAUGCUGCGAAAGGAUCUUCCACCUGAAGUUAGAGAGGCUCAAGAAAAUAAGUUAGAAGGGCUUAAGAAACAACAAGAAAUCCACAACCGACUCGCUGUGGAACGAAAAAUCUUCUUGAGGGACAGAAAGAUUAAGUUUUUUGAGAGGAGAAAGAUAGAAAGGAGGAUUAGGCGUUUGGAGAAGCUGCAAAGAACUUCAUCCGGUCAGGCACAAGACGUGGAUAUUGCUGACCAGCUUUCUAAAUUGAAAGAGGAUCUUGAAUAUGUUAGGUUUUUCCCUAAGACCGAGAAAUAUGUAUCUUUAUUUACUGGAGGUGAUGAUUCAGACAUAGUUGAUAGGAGAAAUAGAUUGCGGAAGCAGAUAAAAGCCAACUUAAUUGCUGCUGCUGCCAGUGGGAAAGAUAUGGAAGAGACAGGGAGUGAGGAUGAUGGACUGUUGGAUUUGAGUGAUGAUGAUUUCUUUUUGACUGGAACCUCAAGUGAUGAAGCUGAUGCAGAUGAUGAAUGGACAGAUAAAAGUACCAGUCAAACAUCUAUGCAUUUUAUGCACAGGGAACAGGCUUCUAGUGCUUCUGGAAAAGCAGCAUCUGGCAUGUCUAGUGAUGAAAGGAAUCAGAGACAGGUUUCUGCCAGAGCUUUGAUGCCACCUCCCAGGCCAUCAUCUAAUUCCUUUUCAAAUUCAGUACAUGCAAAAUCAAGGUUUGGAUCUUCAUCUAGCCGAAAUUCAUCCAUGCGAAGAGCUGAAAUGUCUGCAUCAAGCAAUGCAUCAAAUAGCAGAAGUGGUUCUUCCUUUAAGGCAGGGGGAUCCUCAAACUCAAAGACAGGAAACAGUAGUAAUUUAAGUUCCAAUUCUGAUGCUCGUAAGCCACGUAGAAAGAGGAGACCAAAAAAGAGAAAGCAACAGGUUUAUUGAUUGUGACCAAGAUCUAAUUGUUCUUUUCUUUAUUAUUGUUACUUUUUCUGCAGCUUUUAUGAUGGGAAAUUGAUUCUUGUCAUUGUGCCUGUCCUGUCUUCCAUCUUCUUGAGGUCCUGCAUGACGAAAACUCAGCUUUGGUUUUGUCCAUGAGAAAACAAUUGGUGUUAUACGCAGACUUAUAUUGAAAUUCAACAACGCUUUUUGUAGUAUGUUCAAGAAUAGUUUUAGUUUUGGUUUAGCUGAAAUUUAGUUAUUAUAUUACCUGGAUUUUUUGUUUUUUGAUGGAUUUAAUUGUAUGUUGUCAAUGCUUUGUAUUGUAUUCACUACAAUUGAUAAUUGGAGAAGGAUAAAUGAUCCUUGAUUUGAGCCCUUGGAAACUACUGCCAUUCUACCAUAUUGCAGAGUUACAAGGCUUGGUAGACAGCAUUCAAAUGAAUUUAAACAAGGAUGUACUUUAUUUUCUUUUUAAA